rnacentral:rRNA from 1 species
UACGUAGGCAGCAAGCGUUGUUCGGAAUUACUGGGCGUAAAGGGCGCGUAGGCGGUUCGUUAAGUCCUGUGUGAAAUCCCCCGGCUCAACUGGGGAACUGCACAGGAAACUAGCGGGCUUGAGUUCGGGAGAGGGAAGCGGAAUUCCGGGUGUAGCGGUGAAAUGCGUAGAUAUCCGGAGGAACACCGGUGGCGAAGGCGGCUCCUGGACCGGACACUGACGCUGAGGCGCGAAAGCUAGGGGAGCAAACGGG